AUGGCUAGAUUCUUCAGUCCAGCUCUCGUUCCGCUCGUCUCUCUCGUUCUGCUCCUGCGCUCCGGUGCAUCAUCGGCACAGCACACGCUGAGCGCCGGGUCAUCCCUGUCGGUGGAAGACCACGAGCGGCCCUUCCUGGUGUCGCCGGACGCCACCUUCUCCUGCGGCUUCCUCCCAGCCGUCCACGUCGACAACGCCUUCUACUUCUCCGUCUGGUUCACCGCGGCCAAGAACCGGACCGCCGUCUGGACGGCCAACCCUGGCGCCCCCGUGAACGGCCGGGCUUCCCGUAUAUCCUUCGGCCACGACGGCGUGCUGGCCCUCGCCGACGCCAACGGGACGACUGUGUGGAACAGCAAGACCGGCGGCAACAAGCGCCUCGCCAGCUUCGACUGGCCGACGGACACGCUGCUCCCGUCGCAGACGCUGUCCAAGGACAAGAAGCUCGUCGCCGGCUACUACACCCUCUACUACGACAACGACAACGUGCUGCGCCUCCUCUACGACGGCCCGGAGAUCGCCAGCAUCUACUGGCUGGACCCGGACCUCGGCGUGUUCGGGAGCGGGCGGACCAACUACAACAGCUCACGGGUCGGCGUCCUGGACGACGCCGGGGUGUUCCUCUCCAGCGACAACCUGCGAGCCGAGGCCACCGACCUGGGCGUCGCCGGCGCCAAGAGACGGCUGACCGUCGAGCAGGACGGGAACCUGAGGAUGUACAGCCUGGACGCGGCCGGAGGAUGGACGGUCACGUGGGCGGCGCUGAAGCAGCCGUGCUCCGUCCACGGGCUGUGCGGCAAGAACGCCAUCUGCGAGUACCAGCCGUCCCUCCGGUGCUCCUGCGCGCCGGGGUUCACCGCCAACUGCAGCGGAGCCGUGGCGCCGGAGCGGUUCAAGUUCGUCAAGGUGGCCUACACCGACUUCUACGGCUACGACCUCGGGUUCAACCAGUCCGUCACGUUCCAAUACUGCAAGAGCAUCUGUUUGAAUACAUGUUCCUGCAUCGCCUUCUCCUACCGGACGGAUGGCCAGGGCAGGUGCUACCCCAAAGGCCUCCUGUUUAACGGCUACACCUCGCCGGCGUUCCCCGGAAGCAUAUAUCUCAAGGUGCCUGGCGAUCUCAACGCCACGGCACCGACGCCGUCCGCGGGCCUCGACUGCAAUCAUAAUGGUUCCGGCGCUGCCAUCGUCUCGCCAUACGCGUACACGUACGGGGUACCCAGCGGCCACACAAGCUGGUCCUACGUUUUCGCCUUCGCCGCAGCACUCGGAUUUCUCGAGCUUCUCCUUUUCUUGGUCGCCAUGGCAUGGUGGUUCCUGUCAGGACAUGAGAGUAUCCCAUUCCCGAGCUCUCUGGAGGCAUCGGGCUACAGGCUGAUCUUGGGGACCCAGUUCAGGAGGUUCACGUAUCGGGAGCUCGAGACUGCGACUGGGAACUUCAACGAGGAGCUCGGCCGGGGCGGCUCCGGCGUUGUGUACCGCGGCGUGCUUGACCACCGUGGUGGCGACAUGCACCUGUUCGGCGAGGACAUCGGCAAAGCGCUGGCAUGGGGUGAGCGGUUCAAGAUCGCUUUGGGUGCGGCCAGGGGCCUAGCCUACCUUCACCACGAGUGCCUCGAGUGGGUCAUUCACUGCGACGUCAAGCCGGAGAACAUCCUGCUCACGCGGAACCUCGACCCAAAGAUCUCUGAUUUCGGGCUGGCCAAGCUGGCCGGGAGGAAGGCCAUUGGCGACGGCGUACAACUCUCCCACAUGAGGGGGACGACGGGGUACAUGGCACCCGAGUGGGCGCUGAGUCUGCCGGUUGACGCCAAGUCUCCAUUGCUCGAUAUUGCUCCUGAUUGCCGUGAGAACAUCAUCCACCCGCGGUGUUUUUUCCCGGAAAACGCAGUGGUUCCUUUCCCUCCACAAUUCCCAGGCGAUCAUGAUGAUCAGCGAUCUGAUUCCGCGCCUGCAAGCGGUAGCAGUCUUGUUGAUGAGGAGUUGGCAAGUCUGUGCCGAGCUGAGCCGAGACGUCGUGACUGGUGCCAGCGAAGAGCAGCCUGA
rnacentral:rRNA from 1 species